GUGAGAUGAUGAAUGUGUUUAUCCAUUCUCUGAGUGCUUGCUAGGGUCCUGCUGUCUCUGUGGUGCUCAUGUCUGUUUUAGCCAUGAGUGUCUGCUGUGCCCGUCUCCACUCUGCCACCUCGGUGUUCUACUGGGGCAGCUUGUUGUGGAGACGGAGGCAGGACUGGAGGGCCCUGCCAUAACAAAGACGAGUUGACACACCUGAUCAC
ensembl:snoRNA